rnacentral:lncRNA from 1 species
CAUUUUUAGGAUGGAUAACUGGGAAAGUCUGUAGCUUGCUUUAUGUAUAUAUGUAUAUAAUUAUAUACAAGACACGCUCUGACAGAAACAAAGUGUUUGAUUUGUUUAACAAAGGAAUAUCUUCUAGGGUUUCGAUACUGCGGAGGUAUUAUGUUCCUUCUUUCUUCACAUGAUUUGAUCUUGCAUUAUAAAUACACUCAAAACCUAUGUUUUCUUCCAUGGGCCAUACAUUCUGUUGCUGAUUUACUGUCUUAACCAACAUGUUUUACUCCUUAAAAAUUGCUGGAAUUUUUAAGGGUAUUUCCUGUUGGUUUCUAUGUGCAAGUAAUCACUGUUACAACCUUAAAAUGGACCAUAUUAGACAACUUGACUCAUGUAGUUCUUUCUUAGUUUUAAACUACACUUCCAUGGCUGUUGAUAAAAUAUUUUUUGACAAUUGUACACCAAGCCAUUAUAAUAAAAAAACUUUUCGAUUUUGUCACAUCACUCUAUCUGUUUGCAUAAACGAGUAGAUUUCUUUGUGCGCGGGGGGUUGGCUAUGAUUUCCUUCUGCCUUUCUUCGUUUUGCCAUGUUAUGAUUCUUGGUUUGUGGGGUUUUUAUUUUAAAUGCAGCUAUCUCAAGAUGCUAUCUUCCAAAUCGGCGAGAAUUAGUUGACUGGUGCUUGUUUGUUUGUCACUUAUGUUUAACAUUUAAACUAAUAAUAACAUAUGGUAACCUUGACUUGGAUUUAUUUAUAUUAGGUAAUGAGUGGAUAAGCUCCUCUUGAUUUCUUGAAAUUUAUCAUUGACUUAGCGGUGAUCUUAGCAUUUAAAAUGAGACUCACAACCCAAUUCAAGCUAAUCUUGUGAUGUUUGGGAUACUGCUUUUGGUUCUCAAGCCAUUUUGGGUGCUGUGAUAAAAUUUAUGUCAAUUCUGAUGAUAGGAUUAUUAGUGAAAUGACCACUUUGAUCUCCAAUUGGAAAUAGAUAGAUUAAGAAAUUUAUGAACUUAAGACCUAAGUUAACCUAUUAGGAAGGAUUUGCGUUAGUGAGGAGAAUUAUCUUUUUCUCUAGGAUUGCAUGUCCAUAUAUUCGUACAUUUGGUCCCUUAACAUGUAAUGAUAAAUCAUUUCAACUAGUCAAAUAUAAUAUUACGUUUUGUUGUAUAUAGAGUCAAAUCUCUUGCUUUUCAAGUUCAAAAAACGGUUUUGGUGCUGUUCACAAGAAAAUUUUCAAUUAAUGAAAAUCCUAUGUAAUAGCUAGGAUAAAGGGUUUAAAAAACAUUAAGGAGAAAACCCAAAUCAGAAGGACCAAAACCAAAAAAAAAAAAAAAGAACAGAGAGAAACCCUAUAUAAACAUAGAUCUCUAAGGUGAUUAAUUAACAAAUGUCUUUAUUGUAACUUUGACUACUUGCAACCAUUAACCUGCUCAUGAAAAUACUUUGGCAUAAGAAAUAUAGACAAAAAUUACAUGCAAAGAUAGUGGGAAAACUUGUGGGAGUGGCUAAACAGUUGUAGGUGGAGUACCAUUAGAAGGCAUAGCUGCAGAGUGUACCCUUCUUCCUCUUUCACUUCUGCUGUUAUCAGCAAAUUUCAAGCUUGCCUGAUGUAGACCUUUUUCCUUCUCGUUUGAGCUCCAUUCGGACAAGUAGUAGUCUUCUUCUGUGGCAAUCUUUUCUGAUGAUGGACCACAAAACAUCCCACCCCAUUGUGGGAAGUAUAUUAGAAAUAUUGGGAGGGUGCAGCAUACGAUCAUGACACCCAUGAGAGUAAUUCCAGUUUCUUUAGAAUAUUUGGAUCCCUUGAAAAAAAUUAAUUGAGUCAAAAUUGCACCCACAUUUCCACCUCCUCCUGUCAUCCCAGAUAUUACGCCCAAGGACCUGAAAGCAAAGUCAAGAUAUUUGGAGGAUUAAGAGAAAUAGGCUUUAAAUGAGAGGCUGCACCAAUUGCAAUGAGGUAUCAAUGUAAACAGUAAAAUCAGCCUUUUUCUAUUUCUUUGUGCAUGUGUGAAGUAAAGAAAUGUCAUGACUGAGAAGAGAAGCCCAUUGAUGUACGUCAUAUGAUUUGAGAGGCAGUAGAAGUUCUCCAUCUAUUUUGUUUGUCUGGAAAGGUGAUCCAUCAGAAGUUUAGCAUCUUCUUUUUUCUUUGGUUUGGUUGUUCUGCCCUUGCUUAAUUGGUGAUCCCACAAUUUAACAAAGUCAUAAGUUAUACCCUACCGGAAAGCAAACAGACCUAAGGAAAUAAGGGAGAUAUCGGACAAAAAAGACUGCUUGAAUAUUUUUCCGUUCUCACAGAGAUAGUUAAAGAAAACUUUUCACUGUUUUGAUCAAUUGCUCAUAAGUUCAUUAUUGCUAAUAUGCAUAUAUAUUAUACAAUGAGUUAGAUGAUGUCUGAGUUUGGCCCUUGCAUUUCUUAUUCAUUGAUGAUGAGUUUUUGAUUGAAGACUAGUCACAUUUCAGUUUCUGUAUAAUUGUUCCUCAAAUUAUCAAUAUUGAUCAAUUUGCUAUCAUGAGCAGCAAUGUGUGGCAAAUUAUUUGUGAAAACGAUGCAGAAGUAUAGUCUAGGUGAAUUAUGGAAACCAUACCUCCGGGAAACAAAAGGAACCACUCCAAAUGUAAGACCACAAGCAGCUUGGACAAAGACUGAGAAAAUAAUCA